rnacentral:rRNA from 1 species
UACGGGGGGAGCAAGCGUUGUUCGGAAUUACUGGGCGUAAAGGGCGCGUAGGCGGCCCGCUAAGUCGAACGUGAAAUCCCCCAGGCUCAACCUGGGAACUGCAUCCGAUACUGGAUGGCUUGAAUUCGGGAGAGGGAUGCAGAAUUCCAGGUGUAGCGGUGAAAUGCGUAGAUAUCUGGAGGAAUACCGGUGGCGAAGGCGGCAUCCUGGACCGACAUUGACGCUGAACGGCGAAAGCUAGGGGAGCAAACGGG